ACGGAAGGCAGCAGUGGGGAAUAUUGGGCAAUGGGCGAAAGCCUGACCCAGCAACGCCGCGUGAAGGAAGAAGGCCUUCGGGUUGUAAACUUCUUUUACCAGGGACGAAGGACGUGACGGUACCUGGAGAAAAAGCCACGGCUAACUACGUGCCAGCAGCCGCGGUAAUACGUAGGUGGCAAUCGUUGUCCGGAUUUACUGGGUGUAAAGGGAGUGUAGGCGGAACUGUAAGUCAGAUGUGAAAUCCCGGGGCUCACCCCCGGAACUGCAUUUGAAACUGCAGUCCUUGAGUAUCGGAGAGGCAAGCGGAAUUCCUAGUGUAGCGGUGAAAUGCGUAGAUAUUAGGAGGAACACCAGUGGCGAAGGCGGCUUGCUGGACGACAACUGACGCUGAGGCGCGAAAGCGUGGGGAGCAAACAGGAUUAGAUACCCUGGUA
rnacentral:rRNA from 1 species